UCGGGAAUUUUGGGCAAUGGGCGAAAGCCUGACCCAGCAACGCCGCGUGAAGGAUGAAGUAUUUCGGUAUGUAAACUUCGAAAGAAUAGGAAGAAUAAAUGACGGUACUAUUUAUAAGGUCCGGCUAACUACGUGCCAGCAGCCGCGGUAAUACGAAGGGGGCUAGCGUUGUUCGGAUUUACUGGGCGUAAAGGGCGCGUAGGCGGACAUUUAAGUCAGGGGUGAAAUCCCAGAGCUCAACUCUGGAACUGCCUUUGAUACUGGGUGUCUUGAGUGUGAGAGAGGUAUGUGGAACUCCGAGUGUAGAGGUGAAAUUCGUAGAUAUUCGGAAGAACACCAGUGGCGAAGGCGACCACCUGGACCGAUACUGACACUGAGGUGCGAAAGCGUGGGGAGCAAACAGGAUUAGAUACCCAUGUAGUCCCUGAGCGGGCUGGCAAGGCGCAU
rnacentral:rRNA from 1 species